rnacentral:lncRNA from 1 species
AUUUGCCCGCCGCUGAGCGACCCGGCCUGCCACACCGUGUUCUGCUGGGUGGCGUUCCCGGGCAGCGCGAUGGUGGCGAAGAUGGUGUACGCGCCGCCGGAGUACUCGACGGUGGGCGCGACGGGCACGUUGAACUUGAGGGUCGCGGGCUGCAGGCUGGGCGACGUGGAGUCGAGGUUGGUCAUGAGGACGGAAGGGGAGCCGCUGCUCUGCGUCGCGACGAAGACGCUGCUGCCGACCAUGCCGCGGCUGUUGGGGUUGAUGCCCCAGCCGACCCAGCCGUC